GCGCCUGAAGUCAAGCAAGACCACCCGCUGAACUUAAGCAUAUUACUAAGCGGAGGAAAAGAAACUAACCAGGAUUGCCUCAGUAACUGCGAGUGAAGCGGCAACAGCUCGUCUUGAAUCGCCUCACGGCGAUAUGUGAGUCACGGCCUUACGUGGGGGAUGACGCGCAACUCGGCUGGAACGCCGGACCAAGGAGGGUGCUAGUCCCGUACCGCGUCGACCUCUGCGGUAGGCUGUGUUGAGCGAGUCGGGCAGUUUGGGAUUGCUGUCCUAACGGGAGGUAGACUCCUUCCAAAGCUAAAUAUCGACAGGAGACCGAUAGCGCACAAGUACUGUGAAGGAAAGAUGAAAAGCACUUUGAAAAGAGAGUUAAAAGACUUGAAAUCGCUGAGGAGGAAGCAGUGCGUGCAGCGCAGGAGCCAGUGCAAGGGGACUCACGAGUCCCUGGAAGCUGUCCCGCUGCAGAGUGCAGUGGGCUGUGCGUGAGGCUCUAGGCUGUGUGUCUGGAAGUCUGCGCUCGCCCGCUGAAGGCGCUCCGGCGACUCUGCCGCUGCGCGCACUGACCCGUCUUGAAACACGGACCA
rnacentral:rRNA from 1 species